ensembl:lncRNA
CUGCUCAGGGUUACCUCCCUCAGCAGCUCUGCAGGCAGUGGGGCAUGUCAUACUCAGCCCGUGAGCUUUGCAGGGUGCAGCAUCUCUUCUGAGCUGCUCCUGGAGCACUGCUCCUGCAGGGCCUGCUUUGCUGCCGGGAAGAAGCACCUCACAGUGUGGAUGCAGUGAUAGGCAGAGAGGAGCUUCUGCACGGUAAAAGUGCCCCUCCUCAGCGGGCUCUUGUUUUCAUUAAGGAAAGUCCCUACCUUGCAGAAGUGCUGAAUAUUCAGGUGUCUUCAGGGACCUUGGGAUCACCUUGCCAUCAGGUUUGAAAGGCUCGCUAACAAGCUAACAAAAGGAAUAACAGCCUAGAAAUGCAAAGGUUUUCCUUACUUGCCUCGCUAACGCGUUAUGUCUGUAAUGAUGCUGUAGCCAGAAAUUACUCCCCAUUUGUACGCUUACUCCUGUGUCUGAAAACUUCCCCAUGCAGGAGCUUAUGCUCUGCUGUGGUUUAAUGCCCUGGUCUGGCUGCUCGCUGCAGACCUACUCUGCGCUGGUUUCUACUGAGACACUGAAGAAAACAGACUGCCCCUCUUGCUGAUGCUGCACAACGUUUGAGGACUUGCGGUCACUGAGGAUGUGAGUGUAACAAACCAGAGGACAGCUGCAGAGAUUUGUGUUUUCUUCCCUUGCCAGGAAAAGCCGGAGUGCAAAAACACCUAAGGCCUUCCUGGAGAAAGCUCUAUGGAGUAGAAGCACUGUAGAUGAGUGAUAUUUCUUCAACCAUCUGCUCCUUCCGCACUCACACGAGGGCAGGCCAGCUCCAUGUGAGUGCAGCAAUAGCAGAACCCAGAGCAAGGGCCACCUAUAUGAGAAUCUUAUCCUUCAAGCUGUAAUCAGUGGGAAGCUGCCCUGCGGACCUUGGGAUUUUUCUAUUCCUAGUCAAGGGAGAAACAAACACCACCACCCAGCACGCCUCCCAGGCUGCGUACUUUGCUAUAUGGUGUAUGAUUUCACAAG